GCCGAAAUAGCUCAGUUGGGAGAGCGUUAGACUGAAGAUCUAAACGUUCCUGGUUCGAUCCCGGGUUUCGGCA
rnacentral:tRNA from 1 species